GUCAAGUACUCAGCACUACUAUCAUUUUAAUGAUAUUAAUAAGUUGUAGAGGUCAUCAAAGCAAGCAUUGAUUGCAGCGCUCCCAACUGGAUCCCUACGUCCUCAACUCCUGACACAGGAAAUGCAAAUACUGUGGGGGAUAACUUUGGCACGACACCUGAACACAAUCAAAACUGACUCCCGGAUCUCUAACUCAGAAGUUUCAGGUUUCUGUGUAAAUAAAACUACAAGGACGAUUUGGACUUCCCAAUUACCUAAAGAACAACUCAAUGCUGUGCCUCUGUCUAUGGGUUGGAGAUUUAAUCAGAAGAGGAAGACAAUGAAGAAAAUAAAACGUAAGUAGGCUAUUCUAUGCCUGUUGCCUGUUUGACUUUCCCAGAUGUUAAAAAAAUUAAAAACAUUACACGACUAAAUAAAAUCAUAAGUUAACUCACAUGCUGCAUUAAAAAACAAUGAGUACACAAUGCUUGAAAACACCAAGUUAUUAUUUUUGUUAUUAUAACUUUAUAUAAUUG